UAAACCCGCUACAAGCAUAAUGUUGGC
rnacentral:sRNA from 1 species